ACAGAGCAACAGCAACUUCUCCAACAGCAACAACCACUGCAGCAGCAACAACAACUCCAGCAGCAACCAACCCAGCAGCAGCAACAACCACCGCAGCAACAACAACCGCUGCAACAACAACUCCAGCAACAACAACAAGAUCCUCAACCAGAUUAUCAACUUAAUCAAACCUGCCUGCACCAGACGCUGUCAACAGGACAUAUGGUGGAUACACAAAAGCCCAGCUACUAUCAGGCAUCACUGGCAUAACAGAUGCCAGAAAGGCUGCAAAGAAGUUGUUCCGCCACCUGUACACAGAGGAGGAGUGAAAUAAAGUGAAGGACUGUGAAACACUAGAGUACUUAUAAAUAUUUUUGUUAAGAGUGCAUAUAUCCAUUGUGUUUACAGCGUAAAUAUCCGUUGUGUUAACUUUUUAGAUUGUAAAUAUCCGUUGUGCAUAGGGUAAAUAUCCAUUGAGAUAAGUUUAAAGAAAAUAAAAUGUAUUUCAUGUUUGAAA